rnacentral:rRNA from 1 species
UGGUGGAGUGAUUUGUCUGCUUAAUUGCGAUAACGAACGAGACCUUAACCUGCUAAAUAGCCCGGCAGCUUUGGCUGGUCGCCGGCUUCUUAGAGGGACUAUCGGCUCAAGCCGAUGGAAGUUUGAGGCAAUAACA